CGGCGAGUUACGAUUUGAUGCAAGGUUAAGCAGUAAAUGUGGAGCCGUAGCGAAAGCGAGUCUGAAUAGGGCGUUUAGUAUUUGGUCGUAGACCCGAAACCAGGUGAUCUACCCUUGGUCAGGUUGAAGUUCAGGUAACACUGAAUGGAGGACCGAACCGACUUACGUUGAAAAGUGAGCGGAUGAACUGAGGGUAGCGGAGAAAUUCCAAUCGAACCUGGAGAUAGCUGGUUCUCUCCGAAAUAGCUUUAGGGCUAGCCUCAAGUGAUGAUUAUUGGAGGUAGAGCACUGUUUGGACGAGGGGCCCCUCUCGGGUUACCGAAUUCAGACAAACUCCGAAUGCCAAUUAAUUUAACUUGGGAGUCAGAACAUGGGUGAUAAGGUCCGUGUUCGAAAGGGAAACAGCCCAGACCACCAGCUAAGGUCCCAAAAUAUAUGUUAAGUGGAAAAGGAUGUGGCGUUGCCCAGACAACUAGGAUGUUGGCUUAGAAGCAGCCAUCAUUUAAAGAGUGCGUAAUAGCUCACUAGUCGAGUGACACUGCGCCGAAAAUGUACCGGGGCUAAACAUAUUACCGAAGCUGUGGAUUGUCCUUUGGACAAUGGUAGGAGAGCGUUCUAAGGGCGUUGAAGCAUGAUCGUAAGGACAUGUGGAGCGCUUAGAAGUGAGAAUGCCGGUGUGAGUAGCGAAAGACGGGUGAGAAUCCCGUCCACCGAUUGACUAAGGUUUCCAGAGGAAGGCUCGUCCGCUCUGGGUUAGUCGGGUCCUAAGCUGAGGCCGACAGGCGUAGGCGAUGGAUAACAGGUUGAUAUUCCUGUACCACCUAUA
rnacentral:rRNA from 1 species